rnacentral:rRNA from 1 species
UACGUAGGGUGCGAGCGUUAAUCGGAAUUACUGGGCGUAAAGCGUGCGCAGGCGGUUUUGUAAGACAGGCGUGAAAUCCCCGGGCUCAACCUGGGAAUUGCGCUUGUGACUGCAAGGCUAGAGUACGUCAGAGGGGGGUAGAAUUCCAGCGUGUAGCAGUGAAAUGCGUAGAGAAUGUGGAGGAAUACCGAUGGCGAACGGGAGC